UACAGAGGGUGCGAGCGUUAAUCGGAAUUACUGGGCGUAAAGCGCGCGUAGGCGGCUUUGCAAGUCGGGUGUGAAAUCCCCAGGCUUAAUCUGGGAACUGCAUUCGAGACUGCAUUGCUAGAGUAUGGGAGAGGGAAGUGGAAUUUCAGGUGUAGCGGUGAAAUGCGUAGAUAUCUGAAGGAACAUCAGUGGCGAAAGCGACUUCCUGGACCAAUACUGACGCUCAUGUGCGAAAGCGUGGGGAGCAAACAGG
rnacentral:rRNA from 1 species